UAAUUGCGAGGAAUCGAGCAAAUCGGCAUUCAUUUGGAUAUCUUCAUCAUUCUCGAAAUACAUCGAAAAUACACUUUUGGGUUUUAAAACAUUUUUAAAAAAUUUAUUACCUAAAAAUUCAAUUCCUUCACACUUUUCGUACAGUCCGUUUUAACGAAUCAAAACGAAAUUGGCAUUUCGAAUACAAAUAGCAAUGAUCCGUUCUUACUGUUAAUAAUAAAUAAUUCAUUUUCAUUUAAAUUAAAUCAUUGAAACGAUUAUGACUUAAAUUCAUUACUUGAUUUAGCAUAUAUCGUCCGAUGACGAAAGAGAAGCAAGUACAAGGCUCUCAAACUCCCUCGUCUUUUAACCGUCGCGUCCUCGUUCCGUCGAGGGCUGUGCUGUGUCGGCGCAUGCGCAAACAGCCAAAGCCGUCGCAUCCAGCUUCGUUCCGCAGUCCGAACUCCGAUUUAUCGAACAUAGCGUAUGAAAUCAGCACUGAAUCAGAGAGACCCUGGACCGCUCUGGACAAAGACCUACAUGCAACUUGUUGUGACUGGUCGUGACAGUCACGACUGUCAAGCCAUGUGUUUCGAGAAUAGAGGACAGCACAUUGUUCGAGAAUGUUCUGUAUACUAUACUACGCAGAGCCCGUACAGUAUAGCUAUAGCGGAUAGAGAUGAUUUGAAGAGCGACGAAGGACGAGCAGGAGCAGCGCGAGAGGAAAGGCGGAGAAAGAAAGAGAGAAGCGAUGAGCAGCGCGUGGCCCGAGGUGACAGAAGCACGCGACGCUCCCUCUAGUUCCCCUUCCUGCAGCAGCAAAACUAUCGUAGUAUCGUAGAGCAUCGAUGUGUUGCGUGUGCUGCUUGCCGCUCCGCACCGAUGAGCCACCCAGCAGCUGCCAGUCACGCCGCGCUGCUCGUUCGGCAUCGCGUUUCCUUUCUCACUCUCGUUCCGGCGAUCCUUCUUAUCAAGCGCUGCCAGUUGAAUCGCGCAACCAACCACCGAGUGUCCUCCGAUCCCGUGACAGUUCGGGAGCUCUGGAGUUUGGCCGGCAGCGCCGUCGAAUCCUUCGAGAUUGAAAAUGGAGCCACUGUUGCCGGGAGUCUAGUCGAGUGUUCGCGAAGCUGUCGGGCUGCAUGACGUAUUGGAUAUCAGGGGACGCGCUGCAUCGAUUCGCCAGCCGUUUUCUGUAAUUCGUGAACAACGUACGAUGUAGUUCGGUUGAAAUGGUGAAACGGUUUAUUGAAAAUAACAUCGGAAGCCUCGUCGACGCUCAGCGCGACGCGUCCACAUACUACGUGUGUACGUGACUGAUCGUCAUGCGCAACGGCUACAACGACUACGACGACGCUUUCGCGACGAGUGCGCACGUUUAGGACGACUAGGCAGAUAUUCCGGAACGGACUGAAUGGAUUCGGUAAAGCCUCGAAAUGCCUGCCAGGCCGGAAGUCGAGCCUCCAAGUCGAGCUGCCGGCCUCCGGGUGCGAUCUUCCUGGUGCUGCUGCUGUGCUUCCUGGUGGGAUUCCUUCCUGCCGGUCGAGCCUCUUACAGCGUCGGCGUUGGAAUUGCCGAUACCACGGGCCCGGUAGCGGAAGUCGUAUUUAUGGGAUAUGCCAAGAUGGAUCAAAAGGGCACGGGACUCCAUCUUCGGACAUUUUCAAGGGCCUUCGUGAUCGACGAUGGCGAAGAGAGAUUCGUGUUUGUCAGCGUGGACAGCGCAAUGAUCGGGCACGGAGUGCGAGCGGCUGUUCUUCGGAAGCUGCAGACGCGUUUCGAGAAAAUCUACACCGAGAAAAAUGUUAUGAUAAGCGGCACGCACACGCACUCCAGUCCCGGUGGCUUCAUGAUGGACGUUCUCUUCGAUCUCACCACCUUUGGAUUCGUGCAGGAGUCCUUCAAUGCUCUCGUUAACGGAAUUACAAAGAGCAUCGAAAGGGCCCAUGACGCUGUGCUGCCAGCGAGGAUCUUCCUGACGCAGGGUCAAGUCCUGGACGCCAACAUCAACAGAAGUCCUUUGGCAUACAUGAACAACCCAAAGGCUGAAAGAGACAAGUACGAGCAUAACGUGGAUAAGACUAUCACUCAACUUCAGUUUAUCGGCGUGGGUGAUCGACCUCUGGGGGCAAUUAAUUGGUUCGCCGUUCAUCCUACCAGCAUGAACAACACCAACAGGCUCGUAUCGAGCGAUAACGUUGGCUACGCGUCUGUGCUCUUCGAAAAAGUCAUGAACAAAGAUGCCAUGAUAGGCAAAGGUCCAUUUGUCGCUGCUUUCGCAUCCAGCAAUCUGGGCGACGUGUCGCCAAAUACCCGAGGACCGAAAUGCGAAUUCUCUGGCAAGGAUUGUUCAGCCCAGUACACGUGCCCCGGGAAACACGAGAUGUGCUUCGCCUCUGGCCCCGGGAGGAACAUGUUUGAGAGCACAAGUAUAAUUGCCCGGAAACUCUUCCAGGAGUCAAUGAGACUCUGGCAGGGUGGCAACGUCACCGAAGUCCUGGGACCAAUUCGCCUGGUGCACCGGUUUGUCGACAUGCCCAAGCAGACUGCUGAAUUUUUGAAUGAAACCACCGGAAGUAAGGCAGAGGUACAUGGCUGCCAACCGGCGAUGGGCUACAGCUUCGCAGCUGGCACGACAGAUGGCCCGGGCUCUUUCGCCUUCGAACAGGGCACGACGACGUCAAAUCCUCUUUGGAACACCGUGAGAAACUUUCUGGCAGAGCCAACUCCGGAGGACGUUCGCUGCCAUGGCGCCAAACCAAUAUUAUUGGCAACCGGUCGGAUGGUAUUGCCAUACGAAUGGCAGCCUAAGGUGGUGUCAACUCACGUAGCCGUUUUGGGAAAUGUCAUUAUUGCUGGCGUGCCCGGUGAAUUCACUACGAUGUCCGGCAGGAGACUACGUGACGUCAUCAGGAAAGCAGCCAACGACGCUCUACAGGAAGCCGACCUUGCCGUCAUAGUGGCAGGUUUGUGUAACACCUACAGUGACUACAUCACUACACCCGAGGAGUAUCAGAUUCAACGAUACGAAGGGGCCUCGACUAUCUAUGGCCCUCACACGCUUACCAUUUACUUGAAACAGUAUCAAGAACUCGUUACGGCCGCCAUUAUGAAAAAGGAUCUGGAGCCGGGCCCGUUGCCUCCGGACCUAUUGAAAGAGAACCUGAUCAGCCUGGUGACACCGGUGCUCUACGACACCCCUAAGUGGCGUCACGACUUUGGCGAUUGUCUCCAGCAGCCGCCCGCUAAAGUAUUUCCAGGUGACGUCGUCACUGUUCAAUUUGAAGUACUACUCGACUGUUCCCGAUUAUUCGGCUGGACACGCAUAUCGUGCAAAGGCACGGCGCUAACGAUAAGCAGUCAAGAUUUUACCCCACGUUCGUUCCUCUCGAGGAUUAACGGGAUGGAUGAUUUUACACAGGGCCCGAUUUUGCUAUGGCUGCGCGUUCAUCAGGAACGCAGCUUGUGGAUUCAGCUGCGCUCCGUUUGGCGGGUCCUUCGCCUACAGUUAGUCAGCUUGAAUCGAACGAGAGUGCCAGACUUUGGCUUUUUGUGGCAAUCCACAAUAUAUGGCGAAAUAUGAAUGCUAAAAGGAUUCUUCGUAAAAUGAAGUCGCACUGAAAAUAUUUCGGAAAUAGGAUUUCGACGUGGAUUAAAAAAAAAUAAUGCUGUUACUACACGAUUCAAAAUAGAUUAUAUAUGUCGAGUUAGAUUUCACCUGACGCAUGGGGACACGGGAUAUUCUUACCCGAUUAAGGGUGGAUUUGGUUCAGCUGCUUCUAGUCCAUUUGCACGUUAUAUGUAUGACUUGGUUACGUAAAAGUCGUUCAGUUACGGCACAGGAGAUCGGGGUGUUUAUAUAGUUUCCGGGCAUCCCAGGAACAAUCUCAUGACCGGAAGUACCUACCUGACUGUUGAGAGGCUAAACGACGAUGAGACGUGGACCAGCGUCGCGACGGAUGCUGAUUGGGAGACGACGUACGU